GAUGAACGCUGACAGAAUGCUUAACACAUGCAAGUCAUUGGCGAAGCUGCGCUUGCGCAGUCUAGCCAAGGCGGACGGGUGAGUAACGCGUAAGGAACUUGCCCUGCAGACAGGGAUGACAGACGGAAACGACUGAUAACACCUGGUAUUGUCAGGCUGGCGCAUGCCGGCCUGAUGAAAGGAGACGCUGCAGGAGAGCCUUGCGUCCUAUUAGCUAGUUGGUGGGGUAACGGCCCACCAAGGCGAUGAUAGGUAGCCGGCCUGAGAGGGUGAACGGCCACAAGGGGACUGAGAUACGGCCCUUACUCCUACGGGAGGCAGCAGUGGGGAAUAUUGGACAAUGGGGGCAACCCUGAUCCAGCAAUUCUGUGUGCACGAAGAAGGUUUUCGGAUUGUAAAGUGCUUUCAGCAGGGAAGAAGAAAGUGACGGUACCUGCAGAAGAAGCGACGGCUAAAUACGUG
rnacentral:rRNA from 1 species